rnacentral:rRNA from 1 species
GAUGAACGCUGGCGGCGUGCCUAAUACAUGCAAGUCGAGCGAACGGACGAGAAGCUUGCUUCUCUGAUGUUAGCGGCGGACGGGUGAGUAACACGUGGAUAACCUACCUAUAAGACUGGGAUAACUUCGGGAAACCGGAGCUAAUACCGGAUAAUAUUUUGAACCGCAUGGUUCAAAAGUGAAAGACGGUCUUGCUGUCACUUAUAGAUGGAUCCGCGCUGCAUUAGCUAGUUGGUAAGGUAACGGCUUACCAAGGCAACGAUGCAUAGCCGACCUGAGAGGGUGAUCGGCCACCCUGGAACUGAGACACGGUCCAGACUCCUACGGGAGGCAGCAGAAGGGAAUCUUACGCAAUGGGCGAAAGCCUGACGGAGCAACGCCGCGUGAGUGGUGAAGGUCUUCGGAUCGUAAAACUCUGUUAUUAGGGAAGAACAUAUGUGUAAGUAACUGUGCACAUCUUGACGGUACCUAAUCAGAAAGCCACGGCUAACUACGUG